GCCCUCGUAGCUCAACGGAUAGAGCACUCCCCUCCUAAGGGAGCGAUGCAGGUUCGAUUCCCGCCGGGGGUACCA
rnacentral:tRNA from 1 species